rnacentral:rRNA from 1 species
UACGUAGGAUGCGAGCGUUGUCCGGAAUUAUUGGGCGUAAAGAGAACGUAGGCGGUUUGUUAAGUUUGGGCUUAAAGACUGGGGCUCAACCCCAGGAGUGGCUCGAAAACUGACAGACUAGAGGAUGGCAGAGGAAAGUGGAAUUCCCAGUGUAGCGGUGAAAUGCGUAGAUAUUGGGAGGAACACCAGUGGCGAAAGCGACUUUCUGGGCCAUUCCUGACGCUGAGGUUCGAAAGCUCGGGGAGCAAACAGGG